GAAUAAGAAGCGAUUUUUUGCAUUCAGUUUCGACCUGACCCUAGGUAGAUUAUACCCUUAUUCU
rnacentral:tRNA from 1 species